GUUAGGAAUAUUGGACAAUGGGCGCAAGCCUGAUCCAGCCAUGCCGCGUGAGUGAUGAAGGCCUUCGGGUUGUAAAGCUCUUUAGCCGAUGAUUAUAAUGACUGUAGUCGGAAAAUAAGCCCCGGCUAACUUCGUGCCAGCAGCCGCGGUAAUACGAAGGGGGCGAGCGUUAUUCGGAAUCACUGGGCGUAAAGCGUGCGUAGGCGGCUUUGCAAGUUGGGAGUGAAAGCCCAGGGCUCAACCCUGGAAUUGCUCUCAAAACUGCAAGGCUCGAAUACGGGAGAGGAUAGCGGAAUUGUCAGUGUAGCAGUGAAAUGCGUAGAUAUUGACAGGAACACCAGUGGCGUAAGCGGCUAUCUGGACCGAUAUUGACGCUGAGGCACGAAAGCGUGGGGAUCAAACAGGAUUAGAAACCCCGGUAGUCC
rnacentral:rRNA from 1 species